AAUAGGGUGGUUGAAAGUAGACAGUAAAUUGUAAAUUUAUUUAUGGACAGAAGUUCCUCCUAUUA
rnacentral:tRNA from 1 species